GCGGCCAAGUAACCUGGGUCUGUCCCCACGGGGCAGCCAGCCCCCCCAUUGCACAGCACACUACCUUGUCAUCUUCCUCCCUGAAGCAGGAGAAGGAGGUGCUAAAGGGCAUCCAGACCACCAUCGUGCAGGUGCAAGGGAACUAUGAACAGCUCAACUCCGUCAUGGAGACCCUCCUGCACGACAGUCAGCAGCAGCAGAAGGAUACUGAGGUAGGUGGUUGAAACCCCCACAGGGUCCAAGCUUCCUCCCGGCAGAGCCCAGGCUGGGCACCACAAGGGAUUAGUCCCUUCCCUGGAGGUUUUUGAGGGGGGUGGGGAGGCAGGGGGUGCUGGGCUGGCUGGGAGGCAGCUCCAACCCUGCCAUGGCAUCACGGGGUGCUUUCUGCUUUGGAAGGCUCUGUUCCGGUCCCUGGAGAAGCUGGCGAAGGACAAAGCAGACAAGAACGACCUGGUGCUGGGACUUGAUGUGGUAUGGCCUCAAGGAUCCCUAGCAGGGUGACAAUCACCCCUUGUCCCUUGGGUGCUCAGUGGCAGAAGCGGCCAGGGGAGGGAGGACUUCCAGACCAGCAGCAGGUCCCUUGCUAGGUCCCUCUGUUUCGUCCCAGGUCCCUUAGGCUGCUGGGACCAGCCCCACUGGGGUGACAGGGCGAGGAGGGCCCUGUAGCCACUUUUCCCUCUCCUCCCGACACAAGCUGGCCCUGCCCAUGGUACCUCCACCCUUUCCCCACCAUUCUCCUGCCUUUCCCCCUUUCUAGAAAGCAGACAAAACCACCCUGGCCGGCAAAGUCAACCGCAGCGAGUUUGACACCAGGAUGGAGCGGCUGACUGAGACGGUCAAGGAGAUGCUGAGCCGGCAGAUGGACCAGGAGAAGGUCCAGCAACAACUUAGUGAAGAGGUGGCCUCCAAGCUGGAUCACACGGAGCUGGGGGCUCUCCAGAAACAGCUGGAGGGGCACUGGAAGAACAUCCAGAAGCAGCUCCAGAAGGAGUCACACACAGAGGCUGACGACGCAGCUGGGACUAAGAGGUGAGUGCAAUGGGGACAGUGUUGGCUUUGGGAACACCUCGCUGCUGCCUGCGAGCUGCCUGUCUGUGUCCCCUCCAG
rnacentral:lncRNA from 1 species